AUUGAACGCUGGCGGCAUGCUUUACACAUGCAAGUCGGACGGCAGCGGGGUAGUGCUUGCACUACUGCCGGCGAGUGGCGAACGGGUGAGUAAUAUAUUGGAACGUACCGAGUAAUGGGGGAUAACCAAUCGAAAGAUUGGCUAAUACCGCAUACGCUCUGAGGAGGAAGGCAGGGGACCUUCGGGCCUUGCGUUAUUCGAGCGGCCAAUAUCUGAUUAGCUAGUUGGUGGGGUAAGGGCCUACCAAGGCGACGAACAGUAGCGGGUCUGAGAGGAUGAUCCGCCACACUGGGACGGAGACACGGCCCAGACUCCUACGGGAGGCAGCAGUGGGGAAUUUUGGACAAUGGGCGCAAGCCUGAUCCAGCCAUGCCGCGUGUCUGAAGAAGGCCUUCGGGUUGUAAAGGACUUUUGUUAGGGAAGAAAAAGGAGCGGUUAAUACCCGUUUCUGCUGACGGUACCUAAAGAAUAAGCACCGGCUAACUACGUG
rnacentral:rRNA from 1 species